ACUAAACCGUGAACCUCCAAGAUGACAAUUUUUCCAUAUCCCCCAUGAAGGCAGCAUAAACAGAAGUCUCUGAUAACAGUUUAUCCUGCAGUCUCUGUGCAGAAGACCCCUCCUUGGAGGGAACACGUGUGACCCUCCCGAAAACCAAAAGAAAAGCGUUUUUACUGACUGGUAAUAUUUAUUUAUGUAGAUGCAGAUGUUUAGUGCUGGGCCAUAUGAUUGAACAGAUUUCACAUUUAAUAAAAGAUUAGUUUACUCAUUUAAUUAAUAUCCGAGGCAAUACGUAGGUUAGAUCAGUGCUCUCCCAGGCAGCACAGAAGGAAAAAGAAACAGUGUAGGAAGCUGCCUGCUCCUGUGACCUUCCAGGUCCCUUACAAAGACAGGGGAAGGGAGACACUCCCAUGAUUCACAGCAGUGUGUGGGAGGUGGUGCCAAAGGCAGUACCAGGCUGUGAAGGCCUCACAAAUCCCUCAUGGAGGAAUUGGAGCCUAGAGGAAACAGUUCAAGUAUCCAGGGAAUGGAGCUCCUGUUUGAUCGUGUUUGAUCUGGCAUCAUGUGAACUUAUAUGACUACAGGGCCUCGUUUCACUUCUCUCAGGGAGAGACUGCUAAGUGUUGCUAGGAAGAAAAGGAUGUACGGCAGAUGAAGAUGCUUCUGGGUUCCUGACAGGAACCGGAACUCAGCUGUUGGCAAGUCUCCAUGCAGUUGCUGGAAGUCUUCUCUCAUUUAAGAAAAAAACAAAAACAAAAACCAGUGACCCUCAAGGAGUUUAUAGAUUUAUAGCUGAUUAUAUACACACAUUUGGGAUUUUUUUCUUCAUGGUUUCUUCAUUACAGAAUCUUUCUUAAUCAAUCUACAUACCAGAGAUAACCAGUGAAUGAAUAUUUUUAUGCUUGUGAUAUGUCAUUUUAAUUUCAAAAAGUCGUUGAGAAUCUGUUGUUUUUCUUUUUUACCCCCUGCUUUUUUCCUCAGUGUCUCUUUUCUCUCCAGACUGCUAAGGUUUUAAUGUUUUAGCCGUUUUUAUCUUUCCAUUUAAAAAGUCUAUCCAAAGCAGUACCCUUUUCCUUACUAGAAGAAAAUGUAUCAAAACCCAGUUCUGUACCAUCCAAACACACAAAUGGGUUGGCAGUAGGGCAAACAACAGUUUUGGUUUGCCCGGGACUGACUGAUGGCCCACUACGCUAGACUCUUCUAUUAGAGUACUCUCUUACAGUCCCCAAACUGGGUCACCUUGAGUGGCAGCUUGAGAGGAGGACUGCAUGCGACAUGGAUACCACCAUUAGAGAGCUGCAGUUUCAAUCCCUGUAUUAGAAGUACUCUUCUGUCACUGCUAAACAGCUGUAGAAAGCAAUAAAGCACCAGAUGGAUGAAUGGAUUUAAUGACAUUUAUGUUUCCUUGAUACCAGUAGAUCUCAAUUCUGGCUACUUAGAGGAAUCAUCUGGUUAGCUUUUUAAACAACAACAACAAAAAAAUGCCUUCCUGAUGCAACAGGCCUGAAGCACAGUGGCAAGCAUGUUCUAAUUACCCAUCAGUAUUUCAGUGUUUCUUGGAAACAAUAGUUUACAUUUACUAAGAUUCAAACUACAGGUGUACAAACAGCCCCUUCUAACAACAACAACAAAAUCCACUCUAUGUACUCUGCCUUUUAAAAUGCAGCAAGCAUGCCAACAUCUUCUUCAUAUGAACAAAUGAAACAUAUAAACUACUUAUACUUGUUCACAUAUAUGUAUGUGUUGGAACAUGGUCCAAGAAUGGGUUGCAUGAGAGGAAUUCUAAAUGUUUGUGAGAAAACUCCAAGAAAACAAGACAAGAGUUUCCCAGUUUCUUCAAAAACAGAGAAUUGUCCUUGGAAUGUGCUUUCAUGCCUCUUCCAGGUGUAGCAGAUAGGAGUGUUUGCUUUAGAUUAUUCAUUACAACUGGCUAUUGUUAUUUGUUUAUGCCUCUAUGGAAAAAUAUGCCUUUGCCACAUGUGGUUUGUCCUUGUGAAUAUACACUUUACUCAUGUGAUUCUUCUUAACUUUCAGAGUAUAAAUUGUCUAGUGUUCUCAAUAAAGUUGGCUAUUGCAUGA